AGUGAACGCUGGCGGUAGGCCUAACACAUGCAAGUCGAACGGCAGCACAGGAGAGCCUGCUCUCUAGGUGGCGAGUGGCGGACGGGUGAGGAAUACAUCGGAAUCUGCCCAGUCGUGGGGGAUAACGUAGGGAAACGUACGCUAAUACCGCAUACGACCUGCGGGUGAAAGAGGGGGAGCGCAAGACCUCUCGCGAUUGGAUGAGCCGAUGUCGGAUUAGCUAGUGAGCGGGGUAAUGGCCCACCAAGGCGACGAUCCGUAGCUGGUCUGAGAGGAUGGUCAGCCACCCUGGAACUGAGCCACGGUCCAGACUCCUACGGGAGGCAGCAGUGGGGAAUAUUGGACAAUGGGCGCAAGCCUGAUCCAGCCAUACCGCGUGGGUGAAGAAGGCCUUCGGGUUGUAAAGCCCUUUUGUUGGGAAAGAAAUCUUUCAGGCUAAUACCCUGGGAGGAUGACGGUACCCAAAGAAUAAGCACCGGCUAACUUCGUG
rnacentral:rRNA from 1 species